rnacentral:rRNA from 1 species
CAGAAACUACAAAGGAAUGACGGAACCCGCACAAGCGGUGGAUGAUGUGGUUUAAUUCGAUGCAACGACGAAAACCUUACCCACCUUUGACAUGUACGGAAUCCUUUAGAGAUAGAGGAGUGCUCGAAAGAGAGCCGUAACACAGGUGCUGCAUGGCUGUCGUCAGCUCGUGUCGUGAGAUGUUGGGUUAAGUCCCGCAACGAGCGCAACCCUUGUCAUUAGUUGCUACGAAAGGGCACUCUAAUGGGACUGCCGGUGACAAACCGGAGGAAGGUGGGGAUGACGUCAAGUCCUCAUGGCCCUUAUAGGUGGGGCUACACACGUCAUACAAUGGCUGGUACAAAGGGUUGCCAACCCGCGAGGGGGAGCUAAUCCCAUAAAGCCAGUCGUAGUCCGGAUCGCAGUCUGCAACUCGACUGCGUGAAGUCGGAAUCGCUAGUAAUCGUGGAUCAGAAUGUCACGGUGAAUACGUUCCCGGGUCUU